GGCCGACUAGCUCAGUUGGUUAGAGCGUCGUGCUAAUAACCUAGGCACAAUGGAUCAGACCACCAUGCAUUUGCAUGGUGGUCUGAUCGCUGGCCUUGUGUCAUACGCGAAGGUCUUGGGUUCGAUCCCCACGUUGGCCA
rnacentral:tRNA from 1 species